ensembl:lncRNA
GUGGAACUCGGCUCAGUGGCUGGACCUCCUGGGAGUCACUUCCCAGGGACACAUGGGACAGAGGCCUGAGCAUCCUGAGUGCCCCACAAGGCGGUCUGAAGCGGCGGCCCCUCUGCGUGUCAGUGGAGAUGGCAGCUGUAUUGUGCGUCUGUAGGAGUCUGUACAAGGUGACCUUGCGUGCAGGAAAGUAAAUGUGACGAAAUGGCAGAUGGCCUCAGCUCUAAUGGAGAGCCUGAUGAGGAAUGCAGAACUAAUAAGCCACCACCAACCGGAAGAGUUCGGGAAAGGUCUAAAGGAGACACCGCCUGUCCGUCCACUUCCCAGAAUCCCUCUCGCUAGCACCCAUCUUGGCUGAGGAUGCGUGCGCCAUCAGGAAAGACCCUGAAUUAGAAUAAUUGGCCAAAGACCACCCAGAAACUAAUCCCAUCAGCAUAAAAUGUCAGACUGCGAGCCAUGGACAAAGCAGCUCUCCUGGGUUCCCUCACCCUACUGCUCUCCACCCGGGUGCCCUUUUCCAGUAAAAUCUCUUGCUUUGUCAGCACAAGUGUCUCCUUGGACAAUUCAUUUCCGAGUGUUAGACAAGAGCCCAGUUUCGGGCCCUGGAAGGGGUCCGUCUUCCUGCAACAGUUUGCUUUUCGCUUGUGAGCAGCUAGGUCAAAUUGUUUCCAAACAAGAAAACUGAACUGAACUGUCUGACCAGGGGCACAGGACACAAACUGCUUUGGGGUGGGUCCCAGGCUGGCCUGGGAUUCUGUCAUUACCAGGAAUCAAAGCAGCAAAGGGCAUCCAUGACACAAACCCUAAAAGCGUUUUAUCACUGGAUAAUUUGGGUUGGGCCGGCUCCCUAGAGAAGGGAAUGGCAACUCACUCCAGUAUUCUUGCCUGGAGAAUUCCAUGGGCAGAGGAGCCUGGCAGGCUACAGUCUAAGGGAUCCCAGAGUCGGACACGCCUGAGUGACUUUCACUUUCUUUUCAGUUCGGAUCCAGGGAGAGGUGGAGUCUUUUCUCUGGAUAUUUGUAAAUGCUUCCGACGGAUCCAGUUAUGUGGCUUUGUGUUCUUCUGGAGUUGCUCCCAUGACGUUGAUCGGGACUUCAUACGCUUAGGAGCGCAUUACUUUGUUUUCUGUGCAAUGGUGCGGAAACAGUUAAAAAGCAAGUGAAGGAGCCAAAGCCCGGGACCUGCUUUCCAAACAGGCUGAAGGCGCCACCUACUGUCCAAUCUGCAGAGCUGCCCGAGGAAGGGAGUCAGCCUUAUGGACUGAGAGCCACAGGAACUGCUCACAUCUAACUAUACUUUCUACUUGUAUGCUAUUUAUAACGAGUUGUGUAGUUAUAUGUAUGCUCUCUCCUGAGCACUCUCAAUCUUUGGUUACAGAAAGUAAGAUAUGGAAAAUCACUGAAGUAGGGCAGAUGGAAAAACAGCAUCAGGCUAUCAUAUUUUGUCCACGGGUCCCGAUUAUCCAACGCCAAAAUGCCUUUAGAGUUCUGGAGCAAAAAUGCUCUUUGCCACUUUUAUUCCUAGAAACGACUGAGGCCCAGAGCUCCCUGAGCAGCCCCUCCUGCUGGGGACUUGACUGUAUUUAUUUUACAUGUGUUUAAGAGAUGACAGAAAAAGAGAAAGCUCUAAAAUGGCAAAAGCUUUCAGGUACACCGAAAAGGUGGUUUCUAAUGUUGGCUUGAGUGUUUUGUUUUUAGUGGAACGAUCCAUUAUAGAGCAGGCCAGAAUACGUUUCGAGAAUAAAGCGUACGUUUUCUACCUCUGAGAGAUGCUAAUUAGAAUAUGUCUUUACUAUGGGCCUGGCAUGAAUUCAGACUUGCCUUGGGCAGGGAACUGAUGUCCAGGCUGCCUUAAACCCAGCAAGUGCUCAAGGAAUGCUCUAGUGGCUGGAGGGGCCGGCGGCGUGCAGCCAGCGUUUCACUGCGCGUGCUGCUCGUGUGCUCAUUCUGUCUCUGACCCUUCAGCAGAGGCUCAAUCUCCUCUGCGCAGCUCAUCACUUGUUUGACUCUGAAAUACAUUGGUUCGGUUUUUAUGGUAAGCUGGUUCUGUACAAUCAUAUGUAAAGUGUUUAUCUAAAUACAAACAAUAUACACUCUUGUUCAAGUUCCUCCUGAGUUAAAAGUGCACCAAGAAACUGGAUAAUUUGGAGUAAAAGCAGAAUUUCUCUUUCAUCCUGACAAAGUGUCUGUGGUUCAUUUGUAUAUAUUCCUCCAGCUUUUUAAGAAACAUUUUCAAAUGUGUAUUUAUUGACACGCA